rnacentral:rRNA from 1 species
AUUGAACGCUGGCGGCAGGCCUAACACAUGCAAGUCGAGCGGCAGCGGGAAAGUAGCUUGCUACUUUUGCCGGCGAGCGGCGGACGGGUGAGUAAUGCCUGGGGAUUUGCCCAGUCGAGGGGGAUAACUACUGGAAACGGUAGCUAAUACCGCAUACGCCCUACGGGGGAAAGCAGGGGACCUUCGGGCCUUGCGCGAUUGGAUGAACCCAGGUGGGAUUAGCUAGUUGGUGAGGUAAUGGCUCACCAAGGCGACGAUCCCUAGCUGGUCUGAGAGGAUGACCAGCCACACUGGAACUGAGACACGGUCCAGACUCCUACGGGAGGCAGCAGUGGGGAAUAUUGCACAAUGGGGGAAACCCUGAUGCAGCCAUGCCGCGUGUGUGAAGAAGGCCUUCGGGUUGUAAAGCACUUUCAGCGAGGAGGAAAGGUUGGUAGCUAAUAACUGCCAGCUGUGACGUUACUCGCAGAAGAAGCACCGGCUAACUCCGUGCCAGCCGCCGCGGUAAUAC